rnacentral:rRNA from 1 species
GACGAACGCUGGCGGCGUGCUUAACACAUGCAAGUCGAACGGAAAGGCCCCUUUGGGGGUCCUCGAGUGGCGAACGGGGGAGUAACACGAGAGUAACCUGCCCUUGACUUCGGGAUAACUUCAGGAAACUGGGGCUAAUACCGGAUAGGAAUCCUUGCUGCAUGGUGGGGGUUGGAAAGCUUCGGCGGUUUUGGAUGGACUCGCGACGUAUCGGCUUGUUGGGGUGGUAGUGGCUUACCAAGGCGUUGACGGGUAGCCGGCCUGAGAGGGCGACCGGCCACAUUGGGACUGAGGUACGGCCCAGACACCGACGGGAGGCAGCAGUGGGGAAUAUUGCACAAUGGGCGGAAGCCUGAUGCAGCAACGCCGCGGGCGGGAUGACGGCCUUCUGGUUGAAAACCGCUUUCAGCAGGGGCGAAGCUUGUGGUGACGGUACCUGCAGAAGAAGCACCGGCUAACUACGUG